rnacentral:rRNA from 1 species
ACCACCUUAAACACACCCAAUCCCUUUUGAUUUCAGAAGCUUCACAGGGUCAGGCCUGGGUAGGACUUGGGUGAAGAGCCACCAGGAA